GGGGAAGCAGAAGAUCGAGGCACAGAGAAGAAACGCAGAGAGGAAUCAGAAGCCAAAGGGGUCGCAGCUUGAGGCCCGAGCUGUAGGGCUUAAAGUCAUCUGUCCUGUCUGCAAGGCGGGAGUACUAGAUGCUUAGUUUGAGAUUUAAAUGGCCAUCAGCUGCCCCCCUAGCUCACCCUGGGGGCCCAAUACGAGUUGCCAGAAGUCCACCACCACAUGUUUCUUUAAGAAAGAAUAUAUUGGAAUCAGGAAAUUAAAAUAACUAAUUUCAGAGUGGUUUAAGAAUUGGAUUCCAUUUUUUGUAAAUGUGAUGCUUUAUGAAGAGGAAAUAUAUUAGACAGUAGAAGAGAAAGUAAUGAGAAUGCCUAUUUUAAGAAAGAUUUUAAUCUGCAUAUAUUGAGUUUCAGAUGUUAAUAUGGCAAUGUACAAGACAGGUAUACAACUGUGGAUCUUGGGGAACAGCAUGCUGGAUAUGUUAUUGUGCAUUUGUAUCUGGGUGUUUCUUACGCAGUUUUGUAUAUUCUCUUUUCAGGUCCAACUUGCGAAUGAAAAGCAGCUUGGGGAUCAUUAUGGCUCCAAACAUCCGAAGGAAAAACCUCCUUCGGUGUCUAGCUAAGUUACAUGUCUUUUGUCUUCGGAGCAUUUCCUACGAAAGUUCGAAUAACUACAAGUGCUUUCUAGGUGUGCUUCCCAUGUUUAUGUAUAAGUCUGUGUCAUUUAAGCUAAAUUACAACUUGUUCUAUAUGAUUUUGUCAGUACAUACUGUUUGAUGAUCAUCAAAGGUGAAGAGAACUGCUCCUAUGCUCUGAAUGCUGUCUGAAUGGUGCCAGUGCAGACCCAAAUUCUGAAGGUCUGCGACAUUUCAGGAGGUAAUUCUCCUUUCCGAAGCCUCCCCAAGAUGGAGAGCUUCUUUCCUGGAGCCUUUUAAAUUGACUGUUAGAAAUAUUGGUCCGACAAAAAUUUUUUUGUUAAGCCAGGAAUGGGGAAUGUCCAAUUGUUGUCUUGUGAUAGUAAUCCACAGAUGAUCAAUAAAUAGGAUUGUCGAUUUAGUUCUCUCCUUUC